GUGUUGACGGCCGGCAGGAUGAAUGGCACCGCGUUGCCGCCGUGGUCGGUGGUGGAGGCGGUCAGCUCGGGGUUGGCCACCCCGUCGAUCCAC
rnacentral:tRNA from 1 species